UACGUAGGGGGCAAGCGUUAUCCGGAUUUACUGGGUGUAAAGGGAGCGUAGACGGCUAAAUAAGUCAGAUGUGAAAGCCCAGGGCUCAACCCUGGGACUGCAUUUGAAACUAUGUAGCUAGAGUGCAGGAGAGGUAAGUGGAAUUCCUAGUGUAGCGGUGAAAUGCGUAGAUAUUAGGAGAAACACCAGUGGCGAAGGCGGCUUACUGGACUGUAACUGACGUUGAGGCUCGAAAGCGUGGGGAGCAAACAGG
rnacentral:rRNA from 1 species